rnacentral:rRNA from 1 species
CUAGUAAUCGUGGAUCAGCAUGCCACGGUGAAUACGUUCCCGGGUCUUGUACACACCGCCCGUCACACCAUGGGAGUCGGUAACACCCGAAGUCAGUAGUCUAACCGCAAGGAGGACGCUGCCGAAGGUGGGAUUGACGACUGGGGUGAAGUCGUAACAAGGUAAC